AUGCACGCUGGCGGCGUGCCUAAUACAUGCAAGUCGAGCGCACAGACGAGGAGCUUGCUCCUCUGACGUUAGCGGCGGACGGGUGAGUAACACGUGGAUAACCUACCUAUAAGACUGGGAUAACUUCGGGAAACCGGAGCUAAUACCGGAUAAUAUAUUGAACCGCAUGGUUCAAUAGUGAAAGACGGUUUUGCUGUCACUUAUAGAUGGAUCCGCGCCGCAUUAGCUAGUUGGUAAGGUAACGGCUUACCAAGGCGACGAUGCGUAGCCGACCUGAGAGGGUGAUCGGCCACACUGGAACUGAGACACGGUCCAGACUCCUACGGGAGGCAGCAGUAGGGAAUCUUCCGCAAUGGGCGAAAGCCUGACGGAGCAACGCCGCGUGAGUGAUGAAGGUCUUCGGAUCGUAAAACUCUGUUAUUAGGGAAGAACAAAUGUGUAAGUAACUAUGCACGUCUUGACGGUACCUAAGCAGAAAGCCACGGCUAACUACGU
rnacentral:rRNA from 1 species